UAAAAUUUAUAGAAUAAACUUAUAUAAAUAAUUUACUUAUAUUUCAAUUGCUUUUUUUUUAGUUAAUUGUUUUGGCUCUCAGUGUAUUGUUGGUGUCUGCUGGAAAACUUGUACUUGUGGCUGUCUCUGCUUCCCUGGCUUCGGUGGCUCUGAAUGUGAUCAAUAUAUUGGAGCUUGUACAGAAAAGGCUCAGAAAUUUUGCAAGCCAUUUUUAUGCUUGGACGAUCCUAGAAAAACAUUAAAUUUUUCAUGUGCUUGUCCGGAAGGAUGGAUGUACUCGACAGAUCCCGAUGAUUCUGAUUGUUAUGAUAUAGAUGAAUGUGUAUCUGAGACCAAUCCAGUCUGUGGUACUCAACAAUGCAUUAAUACUCAAGGAAGUUAUAUUUGUGCAGAUGUAAAUCAGCGGCGUCUGCAGACUAAGAAAAGGGGGGAGCACAAACUAUAAAAAAUGGCAUCGUACAUUAUGCAAGGAGCUUUAAACUCUAUGAUUCAAUGUCGGAUUACAGCUUCGAUAAGGUGGCGCUGGUUCUAACUUGGCCUUGAAAACGAGGAAUGGGGUUUUGGUCAAUAUACGACGAAGUUGCAUGGGUCAAUGGACAAAUAUCCUUCAUUAGUUUCUUUCAUAUUUGCAGAAUGGGUAGAUAGAAGUCACGAAUUUUCCGUUGUUUGAAACCCUCUUGGGGAAUUACGAAAAGGACAACCGCGAAGAAAAGGGGACA